ACUCAAAUGAAUUGACGGGGGCUCACACAAGCGGUGGAGCAUGUGGCUUAAUUCGAGGCAACGCGAAGAACCUUACCUGGGUUUGACAUGCUUGGAUUAACUCUUGGAAACAGGAGCCACACCCGCAAGGGUGGAACAAGCACAGGUGCUGCAUGGCUGUCGUCAGCUCGUGCUGUGAAGUGUCGGGUUAAGUCCCUUAACGAGCGCAACCCCUGUCGCUAGUUGCUCACGGGUCAUGCCGAGUACUCUAGCGAGACUGCCGGUGUCAAACCGGAGGAAGGUGGGGAUGACGUCAAGUCCUCAUGGCCCUUACAUCCAGGGUUGCACACGUGCUACAAUGGGGUGAACAAAGCGACGCGAGGCCGCGAGGCGGAGCAAAUCGCAAAAAACACCCCCCAGUUCGGAUUGCAGGCUGCAACCCGCCUGCAUGAAGCCGGAAUCGCUAGUAAUCGCGGAUCAGCUACGCCGCGGUGAAUGUGUUCCUGAGCCUUGCACACACCGCCCGU
rnacentral:rRNA from 1 species